GUCAUUUCCUGUCUCACUGUUGGUGAAGUUCAGAAUUAAACUCAUUAAUCGACAGGGAACUUUCUGUCAGGAAGAACAACACUGACUUCAGCAACUUUCCGGCAGAGAGAGAGAACCAUCUAGAACCCUUGAGCAUCCUGCCCUUACUCAGGGUCCAUCACAGACUGGGAAAGGGAAUGUGACUGAAAGGUAACAACCUUAAACACACAUAUUGAGAUCAACUGCAUCUCCAGUAUCAUAGAGCGUACAGACGAUGGCAAACAAUGGACGAGUACAACCUCAUCUGUCUGGAACAUAUCGAGGCUGGAGGACAGUCACUCCCAGUAUCGGUGUUUGGAAGACACUGACGGCUGGGUUCACAUCUUCAUCAAAAAUUGUCUGAAUUGUGUCAAGGCUGACACUGGGACUGUGCUGGGGAUGGCGCUGGGGAAUCUAAUCGCUACAAUCCUCAUCGCAGUCGCUGUUUACUGUGUAUCCGCUCCCAGGAAAGUGAA